GACGAACGCUGGCGGCGUGCCUAAUACAUGCAAGUAGAACGCUGAAGCUUGGUGCUUGCACCGAGCGGAUGAGUUGCGAACGGGUGAGUAACGCGUAGGUAACCUGCCUGGUAGCGGGGGAUAACUAUUGGAAACGAUAGCUAAUACCGCAUAAGAGUAGAUGUUGCAUGACAUUUGCUUAAAAGGUGCAAUUGCAUCACUACCAGAUGGACCUGCGUUGUAUUAGCUAGUUGGUGAGGUAACGGCUCACCAAGGCAACGAUACGUAGCCGACCUGAGAGGGUGAUCGGCCACACUGGGACUGAGACACGGCCCAGACUCCUACGGGAGGCAGCAGUAGGGAAUCUUCGGCAAUGGACGGAAGUCUGACCGAGCAACGCCGCGUGAGUGAAGAAGGUUUUCGGAUCGUAAAGCUCUGUUGUAAGAGAAGAACGAGUGUGAGAGUGGAAAGUUCACACUGUGACGGUAUCUUACCAGAAAGGGACGGCUAACUACGUG
rnacentral:rRNA from 1 species